rnacentral:rRNA from 1 species
CCUACGGGAGGCAGCAGUGGGGAAUAUUGCACAAUGGGCGCAAGCCUGAUGCAGCCAUGCCGCGUGUGUGAAGAAGGCCUUCGGGUUGUAAAGCACUUUCAGCGGGGAGGAAGGCGUUAAGGUUAAUAACCUUGUCGAUUGACGUUACCCGCAGAAGAAGCACCGGCUAACUCCGUGCCAGCAGCCGCGGUAAUACGGAGGGUGCAAGCGUUAAUCGGAAUUACUGGGCGUAAAGCGCACGCAGGCGGUCUGUCAAGUCGGAUGUGAAAUCCCCGGGCUCAACCUGGGAACUGCAUUCGAAACUGGCAGGCUAGAGUCUUGUAGAGGGGGGUAGAAUUCCAGGUGUAGCGGUGAAAUGCGUAGAGAUCUGGAGGAAUACCGGUGGCGAAGGCGGCCCCCUGGACAAAGACUGACGCUCAGGUGCGAAAGCGUGGGGAGUAAACAGGAUUAGAUACCCCGGUAGUC